AGAGUUUGAUCCUGGCUCAGAACAAACGCUGGCGGCGUGCCUAACACAUGCAAGUCGUACGAGAAAGUCCGCUUCGGUGGAUGAGUAAAGUGGCGCACGGGUGAGUAACGCGUGGAUAAUCUACCCUUUAGUCUGGAAUAACUUAUCGAAAGGUGAACUAAUACCGGAUAAUAUCCCGAUUUCUUCGGCGAUCGGGAUCAAAGAAGGCCUCUGCUUGCAAGCUUUCACUGAAGGAUGAGUCCGCGUACCAUUAGCUAGUUGGCAGGGUAAUGGCCUACCAAGGUUAUGAUGGUUAGCUGGUCUGAGAGGAUGAUCAGCCACACUGGAACUGAAACACGGUCCAGACUCCUACGGGAGGCAGCAGUGAGGAAUAUUGCGCAAUGGGGGCAACCCUGACGCAGCAACGCCGCGUGAGUGAGGAAGGUUUUCGGAUUGUAAAGCUCUGUCGAGCGGAAAGAAGUGCAUGGUGGUUAAUAUCCAUCAUGCUUGACGGUACCGCUAAAGGAAGCACCGGCUAACUCCGUGCCAGCAGCCGCGGUAAUACGGGGGGUGCAAGCGUUGUUCGGAAUCAUUGGGCGUAAAGCGCGUGUAGGCGGCUGGACAAGUCAGAUGUGAAAGCCCUGGGCUUAACCCAGGAAGUGCAUUUGAAACUGUUCAGCUAGAGUAAGGGAGAGGAAAGUGGAAUUCCUGGUGUAGAGGUGAAAUUCGUAGAUAUCAGGAGGAACACCGGUGGCGAAGGCGGCUUUCUGGCUCUAUACUGACGCUGAGACGCGAAAGCGUGGGUAGCAAACAGGAUUAGAUACCCUGGUAGUCCACGCUGUAAACGAUGUUCACUAGGUGUUGGGGGUAUUGACCCCCUCAGUGCCGCAGCUAACGCAUUAAGUGAA
rnacentral:rRNA from 1 species